GGAAAAACAAAAGGCAGUGAGUUCUCUCAGCCAAUUUCUCAGCCAAUUACAGGUCGACCUUCUCGUCUACCCUGCUCACUGCUGCGCUUGACUGGUCUUUG
ensembl:misc_RNA Y_RNA Y RNA